CCUACGAGGAGGCAGCAGUGGGGAAUAUUGGACAAUGGGGGCAACCCUGAUCCAGCCAUGCCGCGUGUGUGAAGAAGGCCCUCGGGUUGUAAAGCACUUUCAGUGAGGAAGAACGCCUGGUGGUUAAUACCCAUCAGGAAAGACAUCACUCACAGAAGAAGCACCGGCUAACUCCGUGCCAGCAGCCGCGGUAAUACGGAGGGUGCGAGCGUUAAUCGGAAUUACUGGGCGCAAAGCGCGCGUAGGUGGCUUGAUAAGCCGGUUGUGAAAGCCCCGGGCUCAACCUGGGAACGGCAUCCGGAACUGUCAAGCUAGAGUGCAGGAGAGGAAGGUAGAAUUCCCGGUGUAGCGGUGAAAUGCGUAGAGAUCGGGAGGAAUACCAGUGGCGAAGGCGGCCUUCUGGACUGACACUGACACUGAGGUGCGAAAGCGUGGGUAGCAAACAGGAUUAGAUACCCCAGUAGUC
rnacentral:rRNA from 1 species